CACAGAAACAUGACGUCAACAUGGCGACAGUGAAGACUUUUUAAUACACAGACGUGGCCUGGCGGGAAGAACAAGUCCCGCGUACAGGGGACAGAAGAGAAAGUGUGGACUGAGCUCCAGAAAUAGGGUCUGAUAGAGAAGAAUCAACUGUGAUCAACUGUGAUGUAGCAUCUGCUAGGCAGAUUCUUGGAGCAAGAGUGAAGACAUACGGUCCCAUCACUACAACACUUUAGGAAGAAGAAAUAGUACAGAAGAGAUAGCAUAAAGAGCAGCUAGACAGAAGAUGGGAGUCAUCAAACAUGUGUCCCAGGAACCAGACCCAUUAACUGAGCACAGGACCUUGGGUGUGCACAUGGCCAAGGGGUCUGGAACCUACCUGAAGUUCUACGAAGAGGUGACUGGGGGUUGGCAGAGAGGGACACUGUAGCAAGAGUCAGGACUCUUCCUGGGCCCCAGAGUCUUAGAUAUCCUAAGAUGAGGACAGCAAUGGAGGAGAGACUUACUCAAAUUCCCAGAGCCAGUGUUGGUUCAGGCACUAGCACCCAUAUCUCCUGACUCCACUGCAGUGCUCUGCCAGAAACUCA